rnacentral:lncRNA from 10 species
GAUAAUUCUGUAAUCAUCCUCUGUUGAAAAUAAAGGUCUACAAAGUGUCCGUUACCCUGGAGCUGUACAAGUCACACACAGCUCCAUUGGAGAGAAAACUGGAUGGAACCAUUUGACUGAAAAUCCAUGUCAAAAGGCCAACAAGAAAGAGCUGAGACACUGCAGAAAGAGCAGGAAUAAAUAAGAGGUGAAGACAGACAGAGACCAGACAAGGAGGACUCAAUUACAGACUGACAGAAGACUCAAGGAAGAAAAUGAAGCUGGACCUGUGAAGAACUGUCGAAACAGCUGUAGAGGAAUUGUGGUGGAGGCAGUAAUGGCUCCUUUAGUAGCAGAGAAUAGAAAGAUCUCGAAAAUAAAGCCUAUUGUCAGGAGACUUGCACCCAUCCUGGCCUACUUCCAAGUAGAAACAAAAACAGAAACGAAGAUAUCCAUGAUACCUAAUGUUACAAGGAGAAGAAAGCACUUGUAAUCACAAGGGUACUGAGAAAAGGUAACAGACACAUUUAUAUAUGUGGAACCAGGAAUCUUUCUGAUGACUUUCAGAAAGGGUGGACAUACAAAUAAAAAUCAACCUUCUUCUUGGUGAGGAUUUGACCCUGGUUCCAUAUUAACCCAAGAGCUGAUAAGCACAAACCUGGAGUCCAGUUUUUAUGCAAAUAUAACAACUCUGCUUAUACCUUGAAUUACUUGUAUGAAGCGGGGAAAAUUUUUUACUCUCUCUGAACCCAUAAUUAAAAAAAAUCUGUAUGACUUGGAUAAUAAACCCACUUCCUAGAAUUUUUAUGAAUAUGAAAUAUUGUGUGAACUACCUAGUAUGUUAUGGAGCACAUGGUUUGUGUUUAAUAUGUGGAAGCUAGUAUUGCUAUUAUUGUUGUUGUUAUAAACAAUAGCACUUCUAUCUACAUAAUUCUCAAACUUUCCCCCUGAAGCUCAAGAUACUUUAGUACAUGAAUUAUUAUUAACUUCAAUGCACAGAUUGAGAAACUGGGAAAAAAUAUGCAAGCCGCAGAGUGGAGAAAGAAAAUUCCAGGUGUCCAUAUUCCUUGUCAUGUAAUUGCCACUGUAAUUAGAUCUACGUGAUGAUGACCUUUAGGGGACUGCCUCAGAGUGCUGAAUUGUUCAAUUCACUAGAGUGGCACCAUCAAAAUGACCUGAUAAUGUUAGCACAAUUGUCCUUGUACCAAGCAGAAGAGUCCUUUCAUUCCUUUUCUUCCUGUAGUUCCAGGGCUACACAAGCCCAGCAAAAAGCAGAAGCAGUGAAUGAACAAAUUAUUUGGGAUGAUGCUAGUGGCUGAUGUCUCAGAGGAGGCAAGCACCCUUUCUCAGACAACCCAGUUUCUUGACUCUCAGCCUUCUUUGGUUUAACUUUGGAUUGUUAACCCUUUACUGCCUGAAACUUUGUCUAACUCCCUGUGCCUUUGGAGUAUGAAGUUCCCAGUAUAUCAUCUGCAUUGAUUUUGGUUCCUGUUUCACAAGCUGUGCAUCACAGACCUUUAUCUUGCAAUUAUCCAUGGUCCGGAUGACCAACUUCAGCCUUAAAACCAGGAGCAGACUUUUCCAAUCAACUUUUGCAAAUUCAAGGGGAAAGAAAGAAAAGAACCAUGUAGGCUCUUGGAUGUUACUUCUCUUAGGGAAAAAGGAAGGAUAUAGCUUGAUAUUUUUACUGCAGUCUCCCCAAACUUUCCACUCAUCAUGCUGCCAACAUCAUUAUUAAUCUGUACCUUCUCUGGAAUUUUAUGGGCAUGUUGAAUUCAUUGUCAUCUCCAGAAAAGAGCAAAGCAUGGUGUGGACAAUUUAAAACCACAUUCAGUUGCUUUAUUUUGGCCAAAAGUUUAAACAUUUUUGUUCUUUAUUUUUUUUUUAGCUUGUUAAGCCGUUUGCAGAACUACUGCUAUAGAUUAAACCUGACAGGUCUAAGCACAUAGUAUAACUGUAUAACUGUGUGAUGCACACAUGUGUGUAUUCCCUUCCCUACACACACACACACACACACACACACACACACACAC